rnacentral:rRNA from 1 species
AUUUACCAAGGUCACAGCAAAGCGGCCACCAUCAUACUCGAAGCAGUGUCGUAAGAUGACUUGUGAAUUUUACAUGAUUUCUUUGGCAUGCCUGGUUCUCACAACAAUACCAAUGUGCUCCAACGAUCUCCCGUUUUCAGAAGACUUUGCAGUGGGGAAGCGUCGCCAUGCAACUACCUUGUCAACAACCAUAACUACAACAUGGGGUACAACCUUGACGAUGGUAUCUAA